UACGUAGGGUGCGAGCGUUAAUCGGAAUUACUGGGCGUAAAGCGUGCGCAGGCGGUUUUGUAAGCCAGGUGUGAAAGCCCCGGGCUUAACCUGGGAAUGGCAUUUGGGACUGCAAGGCUGGAGUGUGGCAGAGGAGACUGGAAUUCCAGGUGUAGCGGUGAAAAGCGUAGAUAUCUGGAGGAACACCGGUGGCGAAGGCGGCACCCUGGACCGGUAUUGACGCUGAGGCGCGAAAGCUAGGGGAGCAAACGGG
rnacentral:rRNA from 1 species